UGAGGAAUAAUGGGCAAUGCCCGAAAGGGUGACCCAGCAACGCCGCGUGGAGGAUGAAGGUCGUAAGAUUGUAAACUCCUGUUAGAGGGGAAGAAUAACUAAGUUUGGAGCUUAGUAUGACUGUACCCUCAGAGAAAGCCCCGGCUAACUACGUGCCAGCAGCCGCGGUAAUACGUAGGGGGCAAGCGUUGUCCGGAUUUACUGGGUGUAAAGGGCGCGCAGGCGGAAUGGAAAGUCAGUGGUGAAAUCCUACAGCUUAACUGUAGAACUGCCUUUGAUACUUUCAUUCUUGAGUUCGGGAGAGAGAGACGGAAUUCCAGGUGUAGUGGUGAAAUACGUAGAUAUCUGGAAGAACACCAGUUGCGAAGGCGGUCUCUUGGUCCGACACUGACGCUGAGGCGCGAAAGCGUGGGGAGCAAACA
rnacentral:rRNA from 1 species